rnacentral:lncRNA from 1 species
UGGAAACCAAUUUGCCAAUAAAUUUCAUACUAAAAAAUAAUAAAAAUAAAAAUAAACAAAGAAUCAAAAACAACCAAAAGGAAGUGAAGAUGUUACAUUGACAACAUUCUUCUCUUUGAGAGCAGUUUCAAACUUUCAGGAAACAGGUUCAUGGUGGAAAGACCAUGAACACAGGAGAAAAGGUUUUGCUACACAGUGACAGAUAUCUAAAGAGUGAAGAACCUUUCUUCCAGAGAACUUUAGUAUUGGGUUAAUCAAAAGGUCAGCACCUAACUGGCUUUCUGUUUAUCCUGAAGGAGUCAAGCCUCAAGGAGGAAAAGCUGCUGGACAGGUAAUACCUCCUGGGGAUGGGUCACAGCCAGACGGCUCCAGGAACCUGGAAAUAAGAAGUGGAAGCUGGGAACCCUAGACUGAAGAAGACCAUGCAUGAAAAUGGAACCUGCCUGCUGACCUCGAUGCCCACCAGUAGCUUCAGUGUUGGACAUUCUUUUCUGUGGUUUCAUGCUUCCCCUAUACGGUCAACUACUUGCUACCUAACAGAGAUCACCAGGGUAAGAAACGGACCCUGGGCUUCCUCCUGGGGGUGCCGACAGAGUUACUGAUACUGACUGUUACAGUACAACCUCAUUAAUCUCACAGAUAUAUACACAUGCAAUCCUUUUCCUCUGAAAUGAGACUUGCACCGUUGUGAUUAACAGUCAUAUUUCAAAUCCGCAAUAUUCAACAAUAUCUUAAUGACUCAAAAACAUAUAAGAUGGUUCUCCCUUUUUCCGCUUCGCUGUUUGGAUGAGAUCAUCUCCACUUCUCUCCCAUAUUUUAACGUGAGGAAGACAAAAAGCAACAGAUAUUACUUUGUUUUCCUGGGGAUAAAAGAAAGAAUGUUCCAAAGACAAUACUUCUGACAUUAAAGACCACACGUGUAUUAGUUUAGUCUCCUUUAAGUAUAAAAUCUUUCAGCAAUUCACUUAGGCUACAUUAUUCUCUACCUUCCAAGACACAGCUAUGAACAAGGACUGUCCGUAAUUUAGUUUUUCUCUUGCAGUUAUUAACCUACAAACACUGGUACUAUUAGAACCAGAUAGAUAGACAAUUUCUGUUACUCCUCCCCUUAAGCUUAUUUGCUUUUGAAUCAUCACUUGCAAAUAUUUUAUUGCACUUAACAUGUAUUUACUCUUCUCUUUUUCUGGGGGAAGUGAGCUGCCAUUUUCCUUAGCUAACUCUUUUGUAACAAACAUGUGGCUGGGGUGUUGGGUGGCUCAGUUGAGCAUCUGUCUUUUGAUUUUUGCCCAGGUCCUUGUCUCAUGAGUUUGAGCCCACAUGGGGCUCUGCGUUAGCAGAGUGAAGCCUGCUUGGGGUUCUCUCUCUUCCUCUCUCUCUCUGCCCCUCUGCCACUCACGAUCUCUCCCAUAAUAAAUAAAUAAACGCUAAAAAAACA